rnacentral:rRNA from 1 species
UUCAGGGGGUGCAAACGUUGCUCGGAAUUAUUGGGCGUAAAGCGCGCGUAGGCGGCUACUUAAGUCGGAUGUGAAAGCCCUUGGCUCAACUGAGGAAGUGCACCCGAAACUGAGUAGCUGGAGUACGAAAGAGGGUCGCGGAAUUCCCGGUGUAGAGGUGAAAUUCGUAGAUAUCGGGAGGAACACCGGUGGCGAAGGCGGCGACCUGGGUCGAUACUGACGCUGAGGCGCGAAAGCGUGGGGAGCAAACAGG